GAGUUUGAUCUUGGCUCAGAACGAACGCUGGCGGCAGGCCUAACACAUGCAAGUUGAACGAUGUAGCAAUACAGAGUAGCGCACGGGUGCGUAACGCGUGGGAAUAUGCCCUUCACUACGGAACAACGUUUGGAAACGAACGCUAAUACCGUAUAAUGACUUCGGUCCAAAGAUUUAUCGGUGAAGGAUUAGCCCGCGUCUGAUUAGCUAGUUGGUGAGGUAACGGCUCACCAAGGCGACGAUCAGUAGCUGGUCUGAGAGGAUGAUCAGCCACACUGGGACUGAGACACGGCCCAGACUCCUACGGGAGGCAGCAGUGAGGAAUAUUGGACAAUGGGCGCAAGCCUGAUCCAGCCAUGCCGCGUGAGUGACGAAGGCCUUCGGUUGUAAGCUCUUUCAGAUGCGAAGAUAAUGACGGUAACAUCAGAAGAAGACCCCGG
rnacentral:rRNA from 1 species